UACGAAGGGGGCUAGCGUUGCUCGGAAUCACUGGGCGUAAAGCGCACGUAGGCGGAUCGUUAAGUCGGGGGUGAAAUCCUGGAGCUCAACUUCAGAACUGCCUUCGAUACUGGCGAUCUUGAGUCCGGAAGAGGUGAGUGGAACUCCUAGUGUAGAGGUGGAAUUCGUAGAUAUUAGGAAGAACACCAGUGGCGAAGGCGGCUCACUGGUCCGGUACUGACGCUGAGGUGCGAAAGCGUGGGGAGCAAACAGG
rnacentral:rRNA from 1 species